GGGACAGAAUGAGGUACAAAUGAAGGACAGAAUGAGGUACAAAUGGAGUAAGGAUAGUGACGUGGGACAGAAUGAGGUAAAAUGGAGUAAGGAUAGUG